GUCUAUGGCUAUGCCACCUUGAACGUGCCGGAUCUCAUCUGUUCUCGGAAGCUAAGCAGGGUCAGGCCUGGUUAGUACUUGGAUGGGAGACCACCUAGGAAGACCAGGUGCUGUAGGUG
rnacentral:rRNA from 1 species